rnacentral:sRNA from 1 species
GUAUGUGAGGUUGCAACAUCUGGCCCCUCGUUGAUCCCCUCAUUGACUAAUUGAUGGCUUCAUUGGUAAGGAGCACAGAUUAGUUUUGGCUGGGCUGGUCUGGCUGACUAGGUUAAAGUCCUUCCUCCAUCAUUGUUGCCUGUGCCUCCCUAUAUGAAUCUGUAGCUCCUGUCACAGAGCACUCUCUAAGAGUAAAGAAUGAUCUGUUCAAGGACACUCCCACUAAUGCACAUUCCUGUUAGAGUGUCCUAACAAAAUUUCCAUAUACAUUUGUAAGAGUUUGCAGUCUUUCAAGACUCCAGAUAAUGCAAAUAAUGCACUCAUGUGACAAUCUGCCAUCCUU